UACAGAGGUCUCAAGCGUUGUUCGGAUUCAUUGGGCGUAAAGGGUGUGUAGGUGGCGCGCUAAGUCGGGUGUGAAAUUUCGGAGCUUAACUCCGAAACUGCAUUCGAUACUGGCGUGCUUGAGGACUGGAGAGGAGACUGGAAUUCAUGGUGUAGCAGUGAAAUGCGUAGAGAUCGAUGAGGAAGACCAGUAGGCGAAGGCGGGUCU
rnacentral:rRNA from 1 species